rnacentral:misc_RNA from 1 species
UCUCCCGUGAGGGAGCAGUCUCGCCUGACCAUAUAGGCAACAGGCAACGGGGGUUGCGUUCGUUACCCCACUGAAGGGAACAGUUCAAACCACGAACUGACGACGACCAUGCAUCACCUGUCCAGCACCCUCGAAGGCUCCCUCUCUUUCAAGAAGGAUGCAGCUGGAUUUCUAACCUUGGUAAGGUUCUUCGUUUGCCGACGAAUUAAGCCGCAUAAUCCACCGCUUGUGCGAGUCCCCGUCUAUUCCUUUGAGUUUUAAUCUUGCGAUCGUACUACCCAGGCGGCUCGCUUACCGCGUUAGCUUAGCCUCACAGAGGGUCGAUACUCCGUAAAGCGAGCGAGCAACGUUGAGGGCCAGGACUAC